rnacentral:rRNA from 1 species
CAGUAGCCACGGUAAUACAGAGGAUGCAAGCGUUAUCCGGAAUGAUUGGGCGUAAAGCGUCUGUAGGUGGCUUUUCAAGUCCGCCGUCAAAUCCCAGGGCUCAACCCUGGACAGGCGGUGGAAACUACCAAGCUGGAGUACGGUAGGGGCAGAGGGAAUUUCCAGUGGAGCGGUGAAAUGCGUUGAGAUCGAAAAGAACACCAACAGUGAAAGCACUCUGUUGGGCCGACACUGACACUGAGAGACGAAAGCUAGGGGAGAAAAUGGGAUUAGAUACCCCCGUAGUCCCUGUCUCUUAUAA